rnacentral:rRNA from 1 species
AUUGAACGCUGGCGGCAUGCUUUACACAUGCAGGUCGAACGGUAACAGGGUGCUUGCACCGCUGACGAGUGGCGAACGGGUGAGUAAUGCGUCGGAACGUGCCGAGUAGUGGGGGACAACGCAGCGAAAGUUGUGCUAAUACCGCAUACGUACUGAGGUAGAAAGUGGGGGACCUUCGGGCCUCACGCUAUUCGAGCGGCCGACGUCUGAUUAGCUAGUAGGUGAGGUAAAGGCUCACCUAGGCGACGAUCAGUAGCGGGUCGGAGAGGAUGAUCCGGCACACUGGGACUGGGACACGGCCCAGACUCCGACGGGAGGCAGCAGUGGGGGAUUGUGGACAAUGGGCGAAAGCCUGAUCCAGCCAUGCCGCGUGUCUGAAGAAGGCCUUCGGGUUGUAAAGGACUUUUGUCAGGGAGGAAAUCCCUAGUGCUAAUAACACUGGGGGAUGACAGUACCUGAAGAAUAAGCACCGGCUAACUACGUGCCAGCCGCCGCAGUAA